GUGGGCUGGAAGGGCGGGGCCCGGCCUCGGAGCGCCCCGGCCACCAAGGGGUUAACGAGCGGGUUUUUGCAGAAACGUGGGUACCGAGGGUGAGUGGGGGUGUCGGGCCGCCUCCACCCCCGCCUCACGGUCUGGGCUCAGAACCUCCCGUUUCUCCGAGGUCAGUCCACAGUGGGAUGAAUGGGGGCGUUGGCGGCAGUAGAGGGCGUGGGGCACAGGGUUGUCCCAGCGCUGCCUCCAGGGCGGGCGGUGAGAGGAGGCAGCAACGCCCGCCAUCUGCAGCCCGAGGGACAUUGAGAGGCUUGGCUGGGGGAAUCAGGGGCGGUGGCCAGGGUGUGGGUGCCCCUUGUGUGCCUAGAUAGGCUGUGGCCUAAUCUGGAGCAGAGGCCCUGGAAUGUGUGUUGGGGGCUCGUUGAAUACCGCAAAGCCCAAGGUGUGAGGGGCAGGGUCUCCCAGCCACUCCCUACCCACCAGGGCUGAGGCAGAUAGAUGAUGGUGGGCUGGAACCUGCCUGGGCAGGGAAGACCCAUUUCAUAAAAGCCCCUAGUCAGGCAACUCAGGCCACAGGUGAGUGGAGAGGGGACAGGGCAGGGAUGCUGCCCAGCUUGGGAGACCCUCCUGCAGUACCUUCACUCCCUCCCUGCCCUCCCCCUGUUCCUCACCUGGGGGUCUGUGGAACCCCUGAGCCUCAGUUUCCCUGUGCAUUGUGCCACCUGAAGAUGGAAGUGUCAGAGGAAGGUGAGAUGUUAUUUCUGAAAGCAUCUACCCUCAGAAAGAGACAGGAGUGCAUCGCAGCUGUGUGAACCCCAGGUGGUGGUUCCAGCAGCGGGGCACGUGGUGGACACAAGACGGCCCGUCCUUGCUCCUGGGCCCCACAGAGAGUCCUUGUGCUCAGUGCACUGGCUGUGCUGCAAGAUAUCCUGGAAUUCGAAGCACACAGUGCUGGCUUGCUGUGGUACCUGUGCAAUCAAAUUGAAGGCAAGAUCACCAGGAAGGAACACAGGGCUUGCAAGAUCACGGAAAACCUUCUUGGAGUUGUUUUGACACACCACUCAUGUCAAGUGUCUGGGUACUUGUAGGAUGGCCUGCCACUCCAUGCAGGGGCAGGAGCAACAGGGAGAUCCCACAAGCAAAGUGAACUGGGGGAUGGGGUGAGUGGGCUCCAGGCAACAGAGCCCUACUGGCAGGUCCUCACCCCCUGGGCCGGAACAGGAGUGAGGGGCACAGAGUGCCCAGGUAACCGCUCCUGGGAACAGUGGGGAACUGUCAGAUGCUCGAACUUUCGAGAGCUGGGCUCUGAGUGUCCUCGUGGAGCUGCCAACUCGGCCAAAGGAGAAGCGAGCAGUUUCUUCUGUUGCCGGGCAACACACCUUUUAAACCUGAGCGAGUGGGUGUGCAUGCAAAGAACGGGCGCGAGUGACAGAGCGACUUUAACGGAUUAGCGACUUUAACGGAUUAGCACCUUAACGGAUUAGCGUGGCAAGGUAUGCAAGCAAGUCACCUGCUGGCAAUUUGGGGGUGGGGAGGGGGAGGUGCGCAAUACAUACUGGAAGGAGAAGCACGCACACAAAGGACGCAGGAAGAACAGGUGCGCACAAAGGCACAAUGGCGGCAGAUCUGCCCGUGGAUCACUGAAGAUUCCUGCUCUCCUGUUGAGGUGGAGAUUGCAGUGAACUAAGAUCACACCAUUGCGCUAGAGCCCGGGCGACAGAGCAAGACUUGGUCUCAAAAAAUAAUAAAAUAAGUACAAUAAAAUAGCAAAACAAAACAAAGUAAGAGGAGAUGAUAUCUGGAUCGUGUUUUAUGGCCAUCUGGUAAGCUAGAUUCUUUCCUUUGGUUUUAUUGCCAAUCAAUGAUUAGAAAGAAGCAGUUUGCUGUUGGCUUGUUUUUCCCCUCAACUAAAUGUAAGAAAAAAAAAAANNNNNNNNNNUCAACUAAAUGUAAGAAAAAAAAAAAGAGUCAAAAAUACCGAAGCUAAUUUUAAAAUGUAUGUAUAGAGAGAGACUUGGUCUUACCUUGUCAUCCAGGCUGGAGUGCAGUGGUGCUAUCACGGCUCAGGGUAGCCUCGACCUCAUGGGCUCAGGCAAUCCUUUCACCUCAGUCGACCAGAUAGCUGAGACUACAAGUGUGGGACACCACACCCUGCUAAUUUCUUGUAUUUUUUGUAGAGUCGGGGUUUCACCUUGUUGCCGAGGCUGGUCUCAAACUCCUGGGCUCAGGCAAUCUUUCUGCUUCUGCCUCCCAAAGUGUUGGGAUUAUAGGCAUGAGCCACCAUUCCCGCCUAAAUAUUUUUGAGAUUCAUAGAGAUGAGUAGGUCAUAAUAAGAGUGCACAACUUGUAGUUAUAUUUAAUAUCUUUUGAAAUUACUCGGCACCCCCAUUGUAAUUUAAAUGAUUUGUUCCUGACCUGGUUUUACUUUGUUCCUGAGGGUUGCAGAUCCCUUGAACAACAUUCCACGAAUGAAGCAGUGAUAAUAAACCUGCAGCUGCCCCGAGGGGGCGCUGUGCGGAGGUUCACAAAGGGACCUGGGUCUCCCUGGUGCGGAUGCGGGGGCCGCCUCCAUUCUGCUUUCUGACACCGCCACCGCGGGGCUAGGCUUGAUGUGACCCCAUCACUGCUCAGUUCACUACACAGUUUCAUCUUUUGAUAUGGAAGAUUUGACUCCAUCCACGUUCCUUAGGAGGUUACUGGAAAUGAUAGCGCUGUAAAUUUCUGGGUAAGUGAGCAGCCAACAUUUUUGGGAGCUGUCACACAACCACACUGCCCUUCCCUCUGCCUGAAAACCUUUAGGCCUGAUUGACUCGGAGAAAGCCCAUUAAACUCAGCCCCCACUGACUUGUUCAUUUCCACUCAAACGUUUGUGAUAGUCCCAACACAAGGCUUGUCCUCCAAGGGACAAUUUGUAAACACUUCUAAGAGAAAGGGUUGACUGGGCCCGGUGCCUCACACCUGUAAUCCCGGCACUUUGGGAGGCCGAGGCGGGCAGAUCACUUGAGGUCAAGAGUUUGAGACCAGUCCAUGAUCUUGGCUUGAAGAGGCAAGACCCUAUAGCUUAUUGAACAUUUUAAGCCCACUCCUUGAUCCAUGAGCCGCAGAAUGGAUGUUGUAUUAGCAAAAAUGAAAACAACAUUAAUCUCCUUGCAUCAUCAUUAGAGCUCCUGGCUGACUGGUUACAUUGUCAAUCAACAGUAAUAUUUUGAAAGGAACAGUGGGCUUAAAAUGUUCAAUAUGCUGUCAACAGAUGUGCUGUCAUCCAGGCUUUGUUAUUCCAUUUAUAGAGCACAGGCAGAGUAGAUGUAGCGUAACUCUUAAGGGCCCUAGGAUUGUGGGACUGGUGAAUGAGCACUGGCUUCCACUUAAAGUCACCAGCUGCUUAGGCCCUAAUGAGAGAGACAGCCUGUCCUUUGAAGCUUUGAAGCCAGGCAUUGACUUCUCCUCUGUAGCUAUGAAAGUCCUAGAUGUCAUCUUUUAAUAGAAGGCUGUUUUAUCCACAUUGAAAAUUGUCAUUUAGUGUGGCCACCUUCAUCAGUGAUCUUAGCUAGAUCUUCUGGUUAACUUGCUGCAGCUUCUAUAUCAGCACUUGCUAGCUUCGCCUUGCACUUAUAUGUUAUGGAGAUGGCUUCUUUCCUUCAAUAUCAUGAGCCAACCUCUGCUAGCUUCAAACUUUUCUUCUGCAGCUUCGUCACCAAUCUCAGCAUUCACAGAAUUGAAGACAGUUAGGGCCUUGCUGUGGAUUCAGCUUUGGCUUAAGGGAAUGUUGUAGCUGGUUUGAUCUUUUAUUCAAGGCAGGAAAACUUUCUCCAUAUCAGCAAUAAGGCUGUUUUGCUAUCUAUCAUUUGUGUAUUCACUGGUGUAGCACUUUUAAUUUCCUUCAAGA
rnacentral:lncRNA from 1 species